rnacentral:rRNA from 1 species
UACAGGGGGUGCAAACGUUGCUCGGAAUUAUUGGGCGUAAAGCGCACGUAGGCGGUUCGUUAUGUCAGAUGUGAAAGCCCUUGGCUCAACUGAGGAAGUGCAUCUGAAACUGGCGAGCUAGAGUAUGUAAGAGGGUCGCGGAAUUCCCGGUGUAGAGGUGAAAUUCGUAGAUAUCGGGAGGAACACCGGUGGCGAAGGCGGCGACCUGGGACAAUACUGACGCUGAGGUGCGAAAGCGUGGGGAGCAAGCAGG